UCGAACGAGACCUUCGGGUCUAGUGGCGCACGGGUGCGUAACGCGUGGGAAUCUGCCCUUGGGUUCGGGAUAACAGUUGGAAACGACUGCUAAUACCGGAUGAUGACUUCGGUCCAAAGAUUUAUCGCCCAGGGAUGAGCCCGCGUCGGAUUAGCUAGUUGGUGAGGUAAAGGCUCACCAAGGCGACGAUCCGUAGCUGGUCUGAGAGGAUGAUCAGCCACACUGGGACUGAGACACGGCCCAGACUCCUACGGGAGGCAGCAGUGGGGAAUAUUGGACAAUGGGCGAAAGCCUGAUCCAGCAAUGCCGCGUGAGUGAUGAAGGCCUUAGGGUUGUAAAGCUCUUUUACCCGGGAUGAUAAUGACAGUACCGGGAGAAUAAGCUCCGGCUAACUCCGUGCCAGCAGCCGCGGUAAUACGGAGGGAGCUAGCGUUG
rnacentral:rRNA from 1 species